AAACCAGCACCUCAAGUGGUCAGGAGGUUUAUUGGGCCUAAAGCAUCCGUAGCCUGAUCUAUAAGUUUCCGGUUAAAUCCAAAUGCUCAACAUUUGGGCUGCCGGAAAAACUGUAGAUCUAGGGAGUGGGAGAGGUAGACGGUACUCGGUAGGAAGGGGUAAAAUCCUUUGAUCUAUUGAUGACCACCAGUGGCGAAGGCGGUCUACCAGAACACGUUCGACGGUGAGGGAUGAAAGCUGGGGGAGCAAACCGGAUUAGAAACCCCAGUAGUCC
rnacentral:rRNA from 1 species